rnacentral:tRNA from 1 species
GCCUGGGUGGCUCAGUUGGUUAAGUGUCUGACUUCCACUCAGGUCAUGAUGGCACAGUUAGUGGGUUCCAGCCCCGCGUCGGGCU